UAAAAACUAGCCACAAGGGAGUUUCAUCUUGGAGAAUAUGGCUGGGUUAAAUAUUUACUCUGUUGUAAACCAUAGUAUUGCAUAAAUGAGUCUCAGUUGCAGGUUAUAUUCUGUAGUCAGCACAAACAAGUGCCAGCACGCGCGGUCACACUUGUUGACUUUCUCAAGAUGUUCUUUCCAUGAAUAUAACAGUAUCAAAAGGGUUAAAUUGUCAGUGAAAUGAAAUUUAUCUCAAAAUUUUUACCAGUAACUUAUAAUUAGGUUUGAAGAGAAACUAGGAUUAGAUACCCUAUUAUCCAAAAGUAGUUCGUCGUGGAAAGAGUAGGCUUUAAUAAUGCUAAAAAUUACACUUGUGUGACGGCUUAGUUUCUACUAAUUAGAGAAGAAUGCUACUGAAAUAGAAACUACGCUACAACCUUACUUAAACCUUCUUGUACACAGCCGUCGGAAGUCGAAGCGGUAACAUUUCGUCUUUGCUGGGUAACACCAGAGUAAGUCAGGUCAAUGUGCAGACCAUGUUUAAGAGUUGGUGUUCUUCUAUAAGUAAAUUUAUGGAUCUUUACUUGAAACUGGUAUAGACAAAAAGAAUUUAAAAGUAAAAUUAGCUCACUAUGCUAUUUUGAAUUAGUACUGCUAAGUGUACAAAUUGCCCGUCAAUCCAUAAGAGGAUAAGUCGUAACAAAGUUAAUCCACUGGAAAGUGGAUUAGGAGUU
rnacentral:ncRNA from 1 species